GGGUCGUUAGCUCAGCUGGUAGAGCACCGGGCUUUUAACCCGAUGGUCAUAGGUUCGAAUCCUAUACGACCCACCA
rnacentral:tRNA from 1 species